rnacentral:rRNA from 1 species
UACGUAGGGGGCAAGCGUUGUCCGGAAUUAUUGGGCGUAAAGCGCGUGUAGGCGGUCCGCUAAGUCGGCUGUGAAAGACCCCGGCUCAACUGGGGAGGGUCGUGCGAUACGGGCGGACUGGAGGCCAGUAGGGGGAUGCGGAAUUCCGGGUGUAGUGGUGGAAUGCGUAGAGAUCCGGAGGAACACCAGCGGCGAAGGCGGCAUCCUGGACUGGUCCUGACACUCAGGAGCGAAAGCGUGGGGAGCGAUCCGG